rnacentral:rRNA from 1 species
CGGCGUCGAGCGGCGGACGGGUGAGUAAUGCCUGGGAAAUUGCCCUGAUGUGGGGGAUAACCAUUGGAAACGAUGGCUAAUACCGCAUAAUAGCUUCGGCUCAAAGAGGGGGACCUUCGGGCCUCUCGCGUCAGGAUAUGCCCAGGUGGGAUUAGCUAGUUGGUGAGGUAAGGGCUCACCAAGGCGACGAUCCCUAGCUGGUCUGAGAGGAUGAUCAGCCACACUGGAACUGAGACACGGUCCAGACUCCUACGGGAGGCAGCAGUGGGGAAUAUUGCACAAUGGGCGCAAGCCUGAUGCAGCCAUGCCGCGUGUAUGAAGAAGGCCUUCGGGUUGUAAAGUACUUUCAGCAGUGAGGAAGGUGGAUGCGUUAAUAGCGUAUUCAUUUGACGUUAGCUGCAGAAGAAGCACCGGCUAACUCCGUGCCAGCAGCCGCGGUAAUACGGAGGGUGCGAGCGUUAAUCGGAAUUACUGGGCGUAAAGCGCAUGCAGGUGGUUUGUUAAGUCAGAUGUGAAAGCCCGGGGCUCAACCUCGGAAUUGCAUUUGAAACUGGCAGACUAGAGUACUGUAGAGGGGGGUAGAAUUUCAGGUGUAGCGGUGAAAUGCGUAGAGAUCUGAAGGAAUACCGGUGGCGAAGGCGGCCCCCUGGACAGAUACUGACACUCAGAUGCGAAAGCGUGGGGAGCAAACAGGAUUAGAUACCCUGGUAGUCCACGCCGUAAACGAUGUCUACUUGGAGGUUGUGGCCUUGAGCCGUGGCUUUCGGAGCUAACGCGUUAAGUAGACCGCCUGGGGAGUACGGUCGCAAGAUUAAAACUCAAAUGAAUUGACGGGGGCCCGCACAAGCGGUGGAGCAUGUGGUUUAAUUCGAUGCAACGCGAAGAACCUUACCUACUCUUGACAUCCAGAGAAGCCAGCAGAGAUGCAGGUGUGCCUUCGGGAGCUCUGAGACAGGUGCUGCAUGGCUGUCGUCAGCUCGUGUUGUGAAAUGUUGGGUUAAGUCCC